UUCAGCAAACCCCAUGCCAGGUGUAUGUCAAGUGCACCUCACCUAGUUUUAUACUCGGCAAACCCUAUGCCAAGUACAUAUCUGCCUUCAACGGGUGCUCAGCUUAGUAUGUUUUUUUCUGUAGUACAUUUGCCCAAAGAAAAACUACAGCAUCACAAAUCUGCAGGGGUCCUCAUAGAGAAAGGUCGGAUUGAUAUACUGACGAGGCAUUUAAUAUUAUAUUAGGUUGAAUUGAAAUGAUAACCUUAAAAUAAGGAGGGGCACUUAAGUUUGGUGGCAAAUCUAACCUGAAUAAUCAUAUGCAUGUGUGCAAAUGCAUGUACAAACUAAUGCACGAAACCACAUAUAAUUUAAUAGAUACGCUACUUAUUCAAUAUUCAAGCUCGUACAAUAUACAAAUAACCAAGUCAAAAAAUAUUGCAGGGCGAUCAAAUACUGGCAAUCAACUACAUAUCUUCAGCAUUUCACUGAAAAAAUAGGACAAACAAGCAAGAAUACACUGAAGCAGUAUCAUCCAAGCAGCUCAAAGCAAGUCUCCAAGCAGCUCAAAGCAAGAUCAUGCCGGGCAACGACCUCACUAUGCAUGCCGUUACUGUCGGUGGCGUCUUUGUUUACAUGCAUGACAGAAGCAACUUACGGGGCAUGAAGAAGACAAUAAUUGUUGCACGUGCUUGGUCCCAAGCUAAGCUACGCCCGCCUGAAUUAGAAAUUGGCGAAGCGCGUUAUUGUGUCAUCACUUAUGUCUGAAUUAGAGUAUAUGAUAACCGUCUUGCAAACAAAAUAUUCAGUUUCUCUGUUCCUAUAAGAAAAAUAGAAAACCAGAAGCCAUCAGUGUGUAAUGCCAUCUAUCAACACAAGGCCAUAAAUUUUAUUUAACUUUGAAUCCAGAUUGUCCUAUUUAUUAGCAAAAAGAGUCUAUAUCCGGAAAAAGAAAUUUUGUAUUGGAAAAUGGAUUUGGAAAACUUCACACCAGAAUAAUGUAAAGCAGUGUAUUUAAAUAAACUGCAGAGCGAUGGAAAUAAUAGUAAACUUGAUAAAGAAAAAAUUGAUUAACACAAUGCUUGUAAGAUAUCACGACAUGCAAGGAAAAUGCUUACCUAAAUAUAAUACAAAAUCCUAAAUUAGCUGAGAGCAGGAGACAAACAUAUUAAGCUCAACUUAACGGGAAGAAUCACUAUGAAUAUUUCAAUACAUAAUGUCAAGAUUGUUAUGCAAAAACAUAAUGGAGUAGCAUUUAAGCAUGUGGAAAUCAUCAUACUAAUUACAAGAGCAUACCCUGCACCUCCUUGAUCACCACGUCGAACCUCAUGCCUCGACCAUGGCAGCUGGCAGCACCUGCCUGGGGUGUGUCCAAGAUGGUUGGGACAAUUUUCCAGUCCAUGCUGCCAGUCCAAGCUGGAAUGCAUACACAAAUUACUACACAUAUCUCAUAUGCUUGUGAAAUAUUGAGAUGACCAAAUUAUUUAGACCAAGUAGCCCUACUUUGAGAUGAGCACCACUUUCCAUUAUUUCAUCAUUCAGCUAAAAAUUAAAUAUUUGACUGAUAUUUAGACCCAGACCCUCCAGAACAAAUAGAAAAUGAGGCUUGUCAAUAUCUAUCCAUCGUUUCUGCAUCUCUAAAUCAAAAUAUAUUCUGAACCCAAAACCAAGACCAUAUGCACAACAGGAAAGGGGUUGACAUUGUGCUGAACCUGUAACACAUAGCAGAUAAUUUCUGACUUUGUGUCUAGGCUGGAUUGUACGUAAGACAUGUACGUAUUACAUAUUCAAAAUCAUUCAGGUAAACAGGAAGGCUUGCAUCGAAAGGAGAAUAUAAACUGUGAUACAUGGGAGUGUAAGAAUACAUUGUUCGAAUCUGGGAUCUACCAUGGAAAUGCUCAACAAGCAGCCCUAAAUAUAGCAAUACUUCUCAACAAAUGAGAUAAACAGAGAUAACAAUAUCAGUUGUAGAUUCAGAUUUAUUUGAACAAAAUAUAUCUUAAGUUUGUCUGCUAAUUAGAAUAAGAAUUAGAAGGGACCAUAGCUAGUAAUUCAGACGAAUUAAUUGUAGGGAAGAACUGAGCAAAGUUACGGCUUCAUAGCAAAACUGGAUUUGUAAUGUAUACUGUGUGUUCCUGUUGAUAGUACAAAUGUAAGAACAAAGCGCCUCAGUGCAGCACGUACAGGAAGAUAAAAAGGUAAGCUGUGCUAGUGCCCAUACUCUGCUUCUCUACCUCUGCCCAUAAGGUGUUUGCUGAAUUGUUUGCUCCGAUUCAGUCAAUCAGUCGAGUCGUGAACCUGUCCACCCUGUUCGUGAGACAGAGAUAGACUCGAGCCCGCUGUCGGC
rnacentral:lncRNA from 1 species